CCGGCGACCGGCGCACGGUGAGUAACACGUAUGCAACCUGGCCGUGACAGAUGGAUAACCGGGAGAAAUCCCGCCUAAUACAGCAUGACGCCGGGAAGGGACAUCCCUUUCCGGCCAAAGGGGGCGACUCCGGUCACGGAUGGGCAUGCGGCGCAUUAGGUAGUUGGUGGGGCAACGGCCCACCAAGCCGACGAUGCGUAGGGGUUCUGAGAGGAAGGUCCCCCACAUUGGAACUGAGACACGGUCCAAACUCCUACGGGAGGCAGCAG
rnacentral:rRNA from 1 species